UUAUGUACAAAAGAAAAUCGUAUUCCGACGAUUAUCUCGGAGUUAAAAGAAGGGAAUAGGAGGAUUUCUACGAUUUCUUCAUCAUCAUCAGGUACGAUCAAUUCUCAAGAUUUAAUUCCUGCAACUGAGAAUUUAACGUUCUCAUCAUCAUCAGAGUUAAUUUAGAAUCUGAGAAUGGGAAUUUCUUCGGUUUCUUCGUCAUCAUCAGGUACGAUCGAUUCUCAAAGUCUAUUUCCUGCAAUUGAGAAUUUAACGUUAUCAUCAUCAUCAUCAACUGAAACAUCUUAAUCAGAUUGUUCUGUUAUCAUAGAUAAAGUAAUUGGUGACAUUGAUCUGUUAACACUUAUUUUGGUACGUCUACCUGUGAAAUCAUUGCUAGUAUUCAAAUCGGUAUCAAAACAAUGGUUCUCCAUCAUUUCUGACCCAAUUUUUGCAAUUAACAACUAUCGCCGACUCAAUCCUAAGACCACUGGAUUGUUCUUUGAGAAAAUGGUUCCUAGAGAAUCUAAUUACGAAGUUAUGUAUGAUUUUCUUCUUCUUGAUGGUAGUAAAUUUGAACAAGGACAUCAAGGAGUAGAAGAAGAGACAUUUAAGACUCCUAGGAAAGUUGGUGAUGAUCCUGAACCAGGUGAGUAUGGAUCGGUGAGGGAGUUUGGUGUCCGAAUUAGUCAAUCUUGUAAUGGUCUUUUAUGUUGCAAUAGACAGACUGAAUUUGAUGGGGAACCCUUUACCAGGCGAGAAUAUUUGGGUUCCAUUGAUCAAUUUUCUACUUAUAAAACCUACAUUUACAAUCCAACUACUAGAAAAUACAGAUGUCUUCCACCAUCACCUUUCAGAGAUAAUGUUCCGAAACGAGACGAUUCUCGGAUCAAGGUUUGUAGUAUCAGUUUAGCUUUUGAUCCAAUGAAGUCCGUGGACUAUAAAGUUAUCUGCAUUUGGAAAAUUGAACCCUUUUAUCAUGAUUAUUGGGAUCAGGAUGUUGAUAAUAAGUAUUAUCUUGAAAUAUACUCGUCUAAAACUAACACUUGGAGGAAGCUCAAUUCAAAUCCUUUUUAUGGGCAUGCUAUGAGUUUCAUGACAUCUGGUGUCUACUGGAAUGGUUGUUUGCACUGGAUUGGGAGUGUCAGAUAUGCAGCAAAUCCUGAGUCCUCAAUGUAUUUUGAUGUUGAACAAGAACUUGUUAAGCCGUUGCCAGCUUCGCCUAAUGUCGAUGAGUCGAAAGUUAUGUAUUUUGGAGAGUGUGGUGGUCAUUUGUAUCUUAUAGAGCUUCUUGAAUCAUGUUAUUACUCAUUACAACAUUUUGAAGAUGGAGACUGAUUAUUCUGGGUGGAAACUAACACUCAAGCUUGACUUGGAAAGUCUUAUUGCUGUAUAUCCAGGAAGAGAUAUUGCAUUUCAUGAUCUUAAAUUUCUUUGGAGAAUGAUAGUGUUCCUCGAGGAAGAUCAAACAGAAUCAUUGUCAAAGCUUGUGAUGGUCGUAACUGGGAAGGAGGUUAUAUCUUAUGAUCUUAAAGAAAUGAGUGUUACCCGAAUCCAUAAUUAUCCUGGGGAUUAUUUUUUUUUUCUCGACGCUCAAGAUGUAUUCGCAUGGGGUCAUCUUCAUCAUUACAUCGAGUCACUUGCAUGUGUUUGAUGCAGUUAAAAAUCAGAAGUUGCAAGAAUAUGAAUAUGCCUAAUCGGAGUUGCAGCUGCAACUGUUGGCUUAUUGUAGGAUUCCCUUGUGCACAUGCGGUUCGUUGCAUUAUGGCUCAUGGAGAUAAUCCUAUUGAUUACUGUGGGAGGUACUUUCCAACUCAGUUCCACCAACAGUCAUAUGGUAGACCAAUUGAUCAUGUUCCCACUGUGUCGAAAAGCCUAUGAUGGUAUCUCCUAAAUCAAUUUUGCUUAGCCCUGAUACUUUUCCACAAUGCUUAGAACUCCUAAUAAGGGUUUGGUUCCUAGCAAGUGCAGUGUGAAAACCGCCCACCACUGAAGGACCUGUACAGAGAUGCCUAACCGCAGAUACAUAUUUCCUGUUGGUGUCAUAGAUUUUUGAGUUUUAUGGUUUUGAUGUCAGGUUCAGUGAGUAGCUUUUGCUGGUGGCUGGUAAUGCAUUGCCAAACAUGAACAGAAUUUGAGUGAUUUCAAUUACAAGGAAUACCCUCAUAAUAUUUAAAUCUGAAUUUGAGAUUGUGAAUUUCAUUGCCCAAGAAUUGGAAGUGCUGUAAUGUGAUUUUCACACACAAAUAGGAAAAUGCCAUGGCUAUUGAAAAUUUCAAUGAUAAACUUGAAACAAA